GAGGGUCUCGCUCUGUGGUAGAGCGUGUGCUUAGCAUGCACAAGGCCCUGGGUUCAGUCCCCAGUCCCUCC
rnacentral:tRNA from 1 species